GACGAACGCUGGCGGCGUGCUUAACACAUGCAAGUCGAACGGAAAGGCCCUGCUUUUGUGGGGUGCUCGAGUGGCGAACGGGUGAGUAACACGUGAGUAACCUGCCCUUGACUUUGGGAUAACUUCAGGAAACUGGGGCUAAUACCGGAUAGGAGCUCCUGCUGCAUGGUGGGGGUGGGAAAGUUUCGGCGGUUGGGGAUGGACUCGCGGCUUAUCAGCUUGUUGGUGGGGUAGUGGCUUACCAAGGCUUUGACGGGUAGCCGGCCUGAGAGGGUGACCGGCCACAUUGGGACUGAGAUACGGCCCAGACUCCUACGGGAGGCAGCAGUGGGGAAUAUUGCACAAUUGGCGGAAGCCUGAUGCAGCAACGCCGCGUGCGGGAUGACGGCCUUCGGGUUGUAAACCGCUUUCGCCUGUGACGAAGCGUGAGUGACGGUAAUGGGUAAAGAAGCACCGGCUAACUACGUG
rnacentral:rRNA from 1 species